rnacentral:rRNA from 1 species
CCUACGGGAGGCAGCAGUGGGGAAUAUUGCACAAUGGGGGAAACCCUGAUGCAGCGACGCCGCGUGAGUGAAGAAGUAAUUCGUUAUGUAAAGCUCUAUCAGCAGGGAAGAAAAUGACGGUACCUGAGUAAGAAGCCCCGGCUAACUACGUGCCAGCAGCCGCGGUAAUACGUAGGGGGCAAGCGUUAUCCGGAUUUACUGGGUGUAAAGGGAGCGUAGACGGCAGUGCAAGUCUGGAGUGAAAGGCGGGGGCUCAACCCCCGGACUGCUCUGGAAACUGUACGGCUGGAGUGCAGGAGAGGUAAGUGGAAUUCCUAGUGUAGCGGUGGAAUGCGUAGAUAUUAGGAGGAACACCAGUGGCGAAGGCGGCUUACUGGACUGUAACUGACGUUGAGGCUCGAAAGCGUGGGGAGCAAACAGGAUUAGAUACCCUGGUAGUC